GCAGCGCAGUCAGCGUCAAAUUUUCUCUACAUGGAACUGCAGUUUACGAAUGCAAUUUGAGUGUACAAAAGAAACGAGUCUUUGUUCGUUUGAAAAGCGGCAAAUGAAGGCUGUGGCUCGUUCAUACCUUUUGGUGUGGCUUGCAAAUGGCGUUGAAC